rnacentral:tRNA from 1 species
GGCAGUUUAGGUCAGUGGAAAGAGCACUGGACUUGAGUCAGAGGACCCAGGUUUGAAUCCUGGAUCUACCA